UAGCCAUGGUGCGAGCACUAAUUUAACAUAUCCUUGAAUCUUUCCCAGACUUAAUAGAACGUUUCAUUGUCCUUUUUGGAAAAUGUGGAAAUUUUUUAUUUUAAACUA